UACGUAGGGGGCUAGCGUUGUCCGGAAUCAUUGGGCGUAAAGAGCGUGUAGGCGGCCCGGUAAGUCGGCUGUGAAAGUCGGGGGCUCAACCCUCGAAUGCCGGUGGAUACUGUCGGGCUAGAGUGCGGAAGAGGCGAGUGGAAUUCCUGGUGUAGCGGUGAAAUGCGCAGAUAUCAGGAGGAACACCAAUUGCGAAGGCAGCUCGCUGGGACGUAACUGACACUGAGGCACGAAAGCGUGGGGAGCAAACAGG
rnacentral:rRNA from 1 species